UAAUACAGUAGUAGCAGCAUUUCACUAGGAAGGAGUACAGAAGUUUAAGCCAGGACCCAGAAGAGGGCUCCAGGGCACUGUUCUGAUGGAGAUUACAGCUUUCACAGAACAGUUAAAACUUGGGCCUUCACCACAUAGUUAGAGAGCCAAACUUCCAAAGUGGUGGAAUAAACCCUUUGUCAGAGUUAAAUUCUAGCUUGCUGAAUUGCAAUUCAUCCUACAUAAUAUUAUCAGUUUCAAUUGAAUGACACUUAAUUUUCCUUUCUAAAUUGCUGCAUAAGGAGUGUGAGACAGUUGUUGCCUAAGUUCAGGCAUAGCUGAAACAAUAUCUGUAUGUAAGUGUUUUGCUGUUGUAUCGUACACAUAUACUGGAUAAACUAAAAUUCUGGGUUUAUACCUACAUAAUAGAACUCCAUUCAGUUUUAUGAAAGGAUUGCGGUCAUCUCACAAGAGAGGAUCAUUUAUUACAGUUGGAGACAAAUUAUACAGGUAAGGGAUAUUGAAAUCCUUAUACAGAGCUAAAAACAAGCAUUAUUAAUUUGAAUUAAGAUAAGCAGUCAGACUAGUUCUUGCAUCUAGAACUUCUGCUUCAUGUCCGACAACCCACUAGUUUUAUUUUAAAAAUGACAGCAAGGCAAACCUAUCAUUUUGAUCCAAUAACUUGUACAGGUAGAAAAGAGAAUAUAUGUAACUUGCUCCUGUAGAAAGCUUACUACAAUUCGCUAUUCUUCUGUGCAGCAGUUACAGGAAACCUAAUUUGUGGAGACCUACAAAUACCAUGUUUGCAAACAUUAGAAAUAACUAGAGUUGCAUUUAACAGGCCCUUGCAUGGCACAUAAUAAAGCUAUACAAAGACCAUUUCUGCUAAAAUACUUAGUAUUUUAAGAUUUAUCUACCAUCAGGACAGUUGAGAUAUAUUUACUUACCAUAAAACUGUCUAUUUAAUAUCUGUGAAAUUUCAGAUUUGCUGAACUUGUCAGGAUUCUUUUUGCACCAACUGCUUGUAAUGGCUGAGGCAGAAGGUAUGAAAAUUGACACUCUCCCAAUCGGAAGGGAGUCUUAAUGCAUCUCCUGGGUAAGAUGGCUGUAUAUCACUCCUUUUCACCAUAUAUCUACCCAACAGAGGACAAGAAGGAUAGAAGAGUAAGGUACUGCAUGUACAGGAGAAAAUUCAACAGGAUGUUAUAGAACACCAUUAGUCAAUGGCAUCCCCUCAGUCACCUAUUUUCCCCAACAAUUCCUUUCUACAGAUUUCUCAUAGGAAGAAUGGUUUUUCAUUUAAAUUUAAACACUAUAUCAAAUUCAGUGAUCUUGUAUGUAUUAUCUUGAAUGUAUUACAAGAGUCACAUUUAUUAAUGUCAAGUAUCAAGGUACAAUAAUUCUACCAUUGCCCUUAAACUGCUACCAUUGCACACAAAAAUUAGCAUAUUGACAUCUAAAAGAUGCAUCCAUUUUCAUAUGGAUGUUUAAUCACUACUCAACAAAAUGCUAGAUUUAGAGUAGUAAUUGCAAAAAAGGCUUUCUGGGGAGCACCCUAUAGGUAUAAAAUCCAGCUGAAUUGUGUAUCUGAUUUCCUUUGUAUUAUAAACCCCUAAACCACCUGAGGAACAUGUUAACUAUAGAAUCAUCCUGCUAAACAAGGCACUCUUGCCUCAGACAUGAUCACAUAGUUUCUCAUAAAUUCAAUACAAGAUUUCAAGUAUCAAUUAAUUCAACCAAAAUUUAAAAUUCAAAGUUAAAUAUUUUCCUAACAUACAUGUAUUUUAUUUCCUUAGUAAAGCAGCAUGUGAUGUGGAGGUUAUUGUACACCUGGAGCAUAAGUUUUUGGAAACACAAGAAACAGAGCCUCCUGCACUGGAGACGAUGUGUAGAGGAACCCUUUCCGUCCAUCAUCCCUGUAUCCUUCUUGUUUAGAGGAUCAUGCUUUUAAAUGCUCUAAAAUGCACAUGCUUUAAUGGAUUUUUCUGAAUUUUUUUGUGACUCGUGGGAGUGCUGUGCAGGGUGAAUGACCCAAAUUUGGGGUCAUUUAAACCAGGGGUUCCAGAGACACAAGCCCUAAAAAGAAAAAAAACCAGCUGUUUUUUCUAAAUGUUUCUAAAUUUUUUUUUUGGCACAGAUCUAGAGAUCAGACUAUUGCUGUGAUGUGGAUCAAAAUAGUCUCAGUCAAUUUUUACCCAAGGUACUGCAUGGCACUCACUAAAUCUUUGAGGGACCCAAACUGUGAAUAGUAUUUAAGAAAAAAAACAUUCAUUGCUUGCGUAGAUGUGCAUUCUGGAAGGAUUAUGUUAUGUGUGCGCUAAUAAAGGAAAAAAAAAAAAAAAAAAAAAAAAAA